GACAGAGGGUGCGAGCGUUAAUCGGAAUUACUGGGCGUAAAGCGCACGUAGUCGGCUUGUCAAGUCGGGUGUGAAAUCCCCGGGCUCAACCUGGGAACUGCAUCCGAAACUGACUUGCUAGAGUAUGGGAGAGGGAGGCGGAAUUUCUGGUGUAGCAGUGAAAUGCGUAGAUAUCAGAAGGAACAUCAGUGGCGAAGGCGGCCUCCUGGACCAAUACUGACGAUCAGGUGCGAAAGCGUGGGGAGCAAACAGG
rnacentral:rRNA from 1 species